UUUGGGACCCCGCUGUGAACAAGGUGAGUACAAGAGUUUACACCAAAACUUGACAGCUGCCGAAUCGUCCACAGUUCCUACGACACUAACUGUGCCUCAACCUGUAAAAGCGACAGAGACUGCACAAAGGAGGAAUCUUGCUGCGAUCACGAGGGGAGAAAUAUUUGCGUCGUGCGACAGGAGAAAGCGUAUCAGACUUGUGAGUAUGAUGGAUUUAUCCCAACGUCAAGGUUACGAGUCGGCCAAGUAGUCAAGGACGCGUGGGGUAAGACGUGCCGGUGCAUGCCGGGAUACGUGCACGGGAUCGUUCACUGUGGAGAAGAUGAAUGCGGGACAUUCGACCCCGAAGAAAACACGUGUAAAAGCCACGGUGACGGGGUCAUGUAUGACAAAGACCACGUGAAAGAUGAGGACAUUGAUGGUGAUAAAGAAUACCAUCCGCCUAGGAUGAUCAACUGUCCCACUAAAUACAGCAGGGUCUUGGUCGAAGUCCAAGAACAUUCGAACGUCGGUCUCCUGUACCACAAGUUCCGUGCACGUGACUAUUUGGGGGAAGAGCUGCACGUGUAUGUCAGCCAGCAGAAGUACUUUGCCUGUAAUUGUUCCUUUGGUCAGCGAGUGAGAGCCAAUGCCACGGCGGUGGACAGACAUGGCGGGAAAAGCACCUGUUGUUUUACUGUACAGAUUGUUGAUCACCAUCCACCAAAGCUGUCCCACUGUCCGACGGAUAUCUAUGCUGUUGUCGGAGAGCGGAUAUCCUGGACCGUCCCAAAAGCCACGGAUAACGUAGGUAUCCGGGACCUUUGGCUAGAACCGAGGGUUUCCGAUGGCUCUCGGAUAGGUCCCGGAGAUCACAUCUUUCGUUACGUGGCAGAAGACUGGCAUGGCAACAAGGCAGAGUGUCGGUUCCUUGUCAGCGUCAAAAUUUCAGGGUCCCCAGAAAGUGGAUGGCCUACCGAGCUGAAGUCCAGAAUACAAACGGAUACAUCAGUUAUAAUCGGAGCAUGUGUGGUUGGAAUAUUGGCCAUCGCUCUCCUCGUCCUGAUGGUAGUGGUGUUCCGGGUAUGUAGACGGGCCAGGGUUUUCGAACGUCGUACACUGCGCAGCUUCCGGUCCAGUUUGUCCCAAACUCCAACGAAUCAGAUCGACGCAUCUUUGUCCGAACCUCCGCCGUAUGAGGUCGCUGCGAAAGAUAAACUUCCGGAUUACAAGCCACGUGACGACCCACCCGUGUAUGACGACAUAUGUAAGGAGGAUUCCCGUACUGACGAAAUUGGCGGCUGCAGUAAUCCUAUUUAUACCAUCUCGGGAUCUGAUGAAAGGAUCUACAGGGCUCCUGUAAAUCCCAAUACAACAACCACCGAUGUUUGAAGCCCAGAAGACAGUGCUUUAAAGUGUGUGCCAGUGGUUGAUGAUAUAGCAUAAUAUGUGUUAUAAAAAUGACAGAAGAAAAUAAAGAUUGUUGUUAAUGACAUCGUUUUGUAUAUAAAUAACUUUAUAUUGUUGAUACUACCAAUCAAUGUCUUAACAUAAAAAUUAAGAAGUAAUUAUGAUUGUUCUUUUCUAUGCUUGUAAAUAUUUCAAUUACUUGUAAAAGCCAAAAUUUUUAAUCUUGAUUUUUUAUGGCGUAAUGUCAUUGUGAUAGAAAAUUUUUUAAUAUUGAAUGAGAUUUGUAAAAAUAAAUUAUCUUUUGUAUAAUAAUCAAUUGUAAAAUUCUUUGAACAAUAAUAAAAAAUUAUAUU
rnacentral:misc_RNA from 1 species